rnacentral:lncRNA from 1 species
GAACCUAAAAGAACAUGGAUCCAUGGAUGUAGAGACUGGAAAUUGAACAGUCUGCUCAACUGCCUCCAUCUUGAUUCCCCUACCCCCAUUUUAAGAUACAUGAGGCACUUUAAGAUUUUCAGAGAAGGGUGUCCAGCAAUAUUUUACAAUUUUUAGUGGGAGGGCUGUGAUCUGCUCCUUAAAAAGACAGCUGUGUUUUGGGUUUCAGGGCAAGGUACUAUUUUCAGAAUCCAGGUGGAGUCUUCACACAGUAAAACAAUGCCAAGAGAAAAGGAAGGAAAACAAAAAACUAAAGGAAUACCCGUGCCCAUCGUUCCAAUUCUUCAAAAGUUCCUGAAAACAUACGAGAAGCACUGUGCCCAGACGCAGACAUUUGUGUGUCCAGCCAUCAAACAGGACUUGAAAACCAGCAUCAGCAGUGAACGGAUUCUCAGGAAACUCCUGUGUCCAUGUCAUCAGGCCAGACCCCCGC